rnacentral:rRNA from 1 species
UCUGAUGCAGCGAUGCCGCGUGAGUGAAGAAGGCCUUUGGGUUGUAAAGCUCUUUCGUCGGGGAAGAAAAUGACUGUACCCGAAUAAGAAGGUCCGGCUAACUUCGUGCCAGCAGCCGCGGUAAUACGAAGGGACCUAGCGUAGUUCGGAAUUACUGGGCUUAAAGAGUUCGUAGGUGGUUAAAAAAGUUGGUGGUGAAAUCCCAGAGCUUAACUCUGGAACUGCCAUCAAAACUUUUUAGCUAGAGUAUGAUAGAGGAAAGCAGAAUUUCUAGUGUAGAGGUGAAAUUCGUAGAUAUUAGAAAGAAUACCAAUUGCGAAGGCAGCUUUCUGGAUCAUUACUGACACUGAGGAACGAAAGCAUGGGUAGCGAAGAGGAUUAGAUACCCUCGUAGUCCAUGCCGUAAACGAUGUGUGUUAGACGUUGGAAAUUUAUUUUCAGUGUCGCAGCGAAAGCGAUAAACACACCGCCUGGGGAGUACGACCGCAAGGUUAAAACUCAAAUGAAUUGACGGGGACCCGCACAAGUAGUGGAGCAUGUGGUUUAAUUCGAAGAUACGCGCAGAACCUUACCAACACUUGACAUGUUCGUCGCGACUCUAAGAGAUUAGAGUUUUCGGUUCGGCCGGACGAAACACAGGUGCUGCAUGGCUGUCGUCAGCUCGUGUCGUGAGAUGUUGGGUUAAGUCCCGCAACGAGCGCAACCCUCACUUUUAGUUGCCAUCAUUUAGUUGGGCACUCUGAA